UCAGUUUAUACAUUCAUCUGAUCACUAGAGGGAGUGAAGAAUCACUUCUGCUCAUUCAAACUGUGCUGUGAAACAAACCAUGAUCUCUUCAUCUUUAGUGUUGCUUCUGGCAGUGGUAUCCUGUAUUGAUUCAUAUGAAUUCACUCAGCCUGAGUCUCUGACUGUCCGUCCUGAUGCCACUCUGACUAUCAACUGUAAAGUCUCCUAUUCAGUUACAAGCUAUGUUACAGCCUGGGUUCGUCAGCCUGCAGGAAAAGCUCUGGAGUGGAUUGGAGUGAUCUGGACUGAUGGAAGCUUAGCCUACAAGGAUUCCCUGAAGAACAGGUUCAGCAUCACCAGAGACACUUCCAUUGACACAGUAACACUGCAAGGAAAGAACAUGCAAGCUGAAGACACAGCUGUGUAUUAUUGUGCCAAACGUGCACAGUGACAGAUGGCAACAGCUUCCCUGUACAAAAACAUCAUCAUAUUAACAUUACCGUAUUUAUCAUGUUUUGUCCUUUUAGGUUUUCACAACUGAUAUUCACUGAUGCUCAUCAUUCACAGCUUAAAUUCAUUUGAUGAUAUUUAUGAGAAAAACCUAAUAUGCCUUUAAUCAGUUGAAAAAACAACAAUUACCUAAUACAAAACUUAAUAAUUAGCUAAAAUAAGCACUAUAAAUGUAAAUUAUGUUUAAAAUAGAAUGUCAAUAAAAUCCAAUAUAGUUUGCAUGACUCCCAUGAGGUUAGAAAGUCUGUUGGUCAGUAAAGGUGUGACCGAGCUUGUUUUGACCCUGUUUUGCUGUUGUCUCAGAGGUGGGAUAGAUGUUUUCAGCAAUGUCUGAGCAGCAUUGAGGGUUUCAACCGAUCUGUGUCAGUCAAUGAACUGAAGUGCUUAUUCUGUCUGUGAUGUGAGUCCAGGAGG